GAGCCUUAAGUGGUAGAGAAGGAAUGAGACUGGAGCUUUCCUACACUCAUUCUGGAUAUCUUUAGGUGCAAGACGUUUGGCUCGUUGCUUAUCGUAUCCACCUUUACCCAUAGACUUAAUGUGAUUCUUAUCCAGUAACUAUCAAUUCUUCAUUCUAUUCAAUGCUCAAUCAUUCCAAUUCUAGUCAUUCAAUCUCAAUCA
rnacentral:lncRNA from 1 species